rnacentral:rRNA from 1 species
UACGUAGGUCCCGAGCGUUGUCCGGAUUUAUUGGGCGUAAAGCGAGCGCAGGUGGUUUAUUAAGUCUGGUGUAAAAGGCAGUGGCUCAACCAUUGUAUGCAUUGGAAACUGGUAGACUUGAGUGCAGGAGAAGAGAGUGGAAUUCCAUGUGUAGCGAUGAAAUGCGUAGAUAUAUGGAGGAACACCGGUGGCGAAAGCGGCUCUCUGGCCUGUAACUGACACUGAGGCUCGAAAGCGUGGGGAGCAAACAGG